AACGAACGCUGGCGGCGCGCCUAAUACAUGCAAGUCGAGCGAGAAGACGUAGCAAUACGUUUGUAAAGCGGCGAACGGGUGAGGAAUACAUGGGUAACCUACCCUCGAGUGGGGAAUAACUAGCCGAAAGGUUAGCUAAUACCGCGUACGCUCCUUGGACUUCGGUUCAGGGAGGAAAGCGAUACCGUGGGUAUCGCGCUCUUGGAUGGGCUCAUGUCCUAUCAGCUUGUUGGUGAGGAACGGCUCACCAAGGCUUCGACGGGUAGCUGGUCUGAGAGGACGAUCAGCCACACUGGCACUGCGACACGGGCCAGACUCCUACGGGAGGCAGCAGUAAGGAUAUUGCGCAAUGGGCGAAAGCCUGACGCAGCGACGCCGC
rnacentral:rRNA from 1 species